rnacentral:rRNA from 1 species
CAGUCGCCGCGGUAAUACGGAGGGUGCAAGCGUUAUUCGGAAUUACUGGGCGUAAAGCGCACGCAGGCGGUUGCCCAAGUCAGAUGUGAAAGCCCCGGGCUUAACCUGGGAACUGCAUUUGAAACUGGGCGACUAGAGUAUGAAAGAGGAAAGCGGAAUUUCCAGUGUAGCAGUGAAAUGCGUAGAUAUUGGAAGGAACACCGAUGGCGAAGGCAGCUUUCUGGGUCGAUACUGACGCUCAUGUGCGAAAGCGUGGAGAGCAAACAGGAUUAGAUACCCGAGUAGCCCUGUCUCUUAUACA